AGCUUCCUUUUCUCAGGGUUGUGCUACUCUCCAGUGUGCCUGCAGUGAGGACAGUACUGCUAACACCUAUGCAACUCACCCACAUCCACUAGAGCUUUGCCUUACAUUGGUGCAAUUUUUGGAAAA